UACGUAGGUCCCGAGCGUUGUCCGGAUUUAUUGGGCGUAAAGCGAGCGCAGGCGGACUUUUAAGUGAGAUGUGAAAUACUCGGGCUCAACUUGAGUGCUGCAUUUCAAACUGGAAGUCUAGAGUGCAGGAGAGGAGAAUGGAAUUCCUAGUGUAGCGGUGAAAUGCGUAGAGAUUAGGAAGAACACCAGUGGCGAAGGCGAUUCUCUGGACUGUAACUGACACUGAGGCUCGAAAGCGUGGGGAGCAAACAGG
rnacentral:rRNA from 1 species